UACGAAGGGGGCUAGCGUUGUUCGGAAUCACUGGGCUUAAAGGGCGCGUAGGCGGACUGCCAAGUCCGGGGUGAAAUCUUUCGGCUUAACCGGAAAAGGGCCUUGGAAACUGGCGGUCUCGAGGGAGGUAGGGGCCUGUGGAACUUCGGGUGGAGCGGUGAAAUGCGUUGAUAUCCGAAGGAACGCCGGUGGCGAAAGCGACGGGCUGGAUCUCUUCUGACGCUGAGGCGCGAAAGCCAGGGGAGCAAACGGG
rnacentral:rRNA from 1 species